rnacentral:rRNA from 1 species
AAGACGGGUAGGGGGCGUGAGAGCGUGACCCCCCACACUGGCACUGGGACACGGGCCAGACUCCUACGGGAGGCAGCAGUGAGGAAUAUUGCGCAAUGAGCGAAAGCUAGACGCAGCAACGCCGCGUGGGUGAUGAAGGCCUUCGGGUCGUAAAACCCUUUUCUGGGGGAAGAGUAAGGACGGUACCCCAGGAAUAAGCCUCGGCUAACUAUGUGCCAGCAGCCGCGGUAAUACAUAGGAGGCAAGCGUUAUCCGGAUUUACUGGGUGUAAAGAGCGUUGAGGCGGCUUCGUAAGUUGGACGUGAAAGCUCCCGGCUUAACUGGGAGAGGCCGUUCAAUACUGCGGGGCUUGAGGACAGCAGAGGGGGGUGGAAUUUCCGGUGUAGUGGUGAAAUGCGUAGAUAUCGGAAGGAACACCAGUGGCGAAGGCGGCCCCCUGGGCUGCUCCUGACGCUGAAGGCGAAAGCUAGGGUAGCGAACGGGAUUAGAAACCCCGGUAGUCCUAGCCGUAAACGAUGGAUACUAGGUGUAGGAGGUUAAAAUUCCUUCUGUGCCGGAGCUAACGCGUUAAGUAUCCCGCCUGGGGAGUACGGUCGCAAGGCUAAAACUCAAAGGAAUUGACGGGGGCCCGCACAAGCAGCGGAGCGUGUGGUUUAAUUCGAUGCAACGCGAAGAACCUUACCAGGGCUUGACAUGUAGGUAGUAGUGAAGCGAAAGCGGAACGAUCCUUCGGGAAGCCUACACAGGUGCUGCAUGGCUGUCGUCAGCUCGUGCCGUGAGGUGUUAGGUUAAGUCCUGUAACGAGCGCAACCCCUGCCGUUAGUUACAAGUGUCUAACGGGACUGCCCGGCAAAACUGGGAGGAAGGUGGGGAUGACGUCAAGUCAGCAUGGCCUUUAUGUCCUGGGCUACACACACGCUACAAUGGCCGGUACAAUGGGUUGCCAAGCCGCGAGGCGGAGCCAAUCCUCUAAAGCCGGUCUCAGUUCGGAUUGUAGGCUGCAACCCGCCUGCAUGAAGUUGGAGUUGCUAGUAACCGCAGGUCAGCCACACUGCGGUGAAUACGUUCCCGGGCCUUGUACACACCGCCCGUCACGUCAUGGAAGCUGGUAACACCUGAAGCCGGUGAGC